CCUACGGGAGGCAGCAGUGGGGAAUAUUGGACAAUGGGCGAAAGCCUGAUCCAGCCAUGCCGCGUGUGUGAAGAAGGUCUUCGGAUUGUAAAGCACUUUAAGUUGGGAGGAAGGGUAGUAACUUAAUACGUUGCUACUUUGACGUUACCGACAGAAUAAGCACCGGCUWACUUCGUGCCAGCAGCCGCGGUAAU
rnacentral:rRNA from 1 species